rnacentral:rRNA from 1 species
UACGGGAGGCAGCAGUGGGGAAUAUUGCACAAUGGGCGCAAGCCUGAUGCAGCCAUGCCGCGUGUAUGAAAAAGGCCUUCGGGUUGUAAAGUACUUUCAGUCGUGAGGAAGGUGUUAAGGUUAAUAACCUUAGCAAUUGACGUUAGCGACAGAAGAAGCACCGGCUAACUCCGUGCCAGCAGCCGCGGUAAUACGGAGGGUGCGAGCGUUAAUCGGAAUUACUGGGCGUAAAGGGCACGCAGGCGGUUAAUUAAGUUGGAUGUGAAAUCCCCGGGCUUAACCUGGGAAUGGCAUUCAAGACUGGUUAGCUAGAGUCUUGUAGAGGGGGUUAGAAUUCCAUGUGUAGCGGUGAAAUGCGUAGAGAUGUGGAGGAAUACCGGUGGCGAAGGCGGCCCCUGGGACAAAGGACUGACGCUCAUGUGCGAAAGCGUGGGGAGCAAACAGGGAUUAGAUACC